rnacentral:rRNA from 1 species
UACGGGGGGGGCAAGCGUUGUUCGGAAUUACUGGGCGUAAAGGGCGCGUAGGCGGCUCGUCAAGUCGGGCGUGAAAUCUCCGGGCUUAACCCGGAAAAGUCGUUCGAUACUGUUGAGCUAGAGUGUGGAAGGGGCCACCGGAAUUCUCGGUGUAGCGGUGAAAUGCGUAGAUAUCGAGAGGAACACCUGCGGCGAAGGCGGGUGGCUGGGCCGACACUGACGCUGAGGCGCGAAAGCCAGGGGAGCGAACGGG